rnacentral:misc_RNA from 1 species
UUAUAUGUUGCAUGAGAUGCAAUUAGAAACAAAACAAAAAUUCAAAUGAAAUUGUAUUAAUGUCAUUCGGCCAUGAUGAGAUUAUGGUGGAAAAGACAUUUGGCCAAAAUUUGGAUUUGGCUAAACAAUUUUGUUUUGAUGAAUUUACUUGUUUAAUGGUGUUUAACAUGUAUGAGAUACAGUUUGGAACCAUUAGAAACCAAGAAAAAUCAUGAAUUUUGAG